rnacentral:rRNA from 1 species
GACGAACGCUGGCGGCGUGCUUAACACAUGCAAGUCGAACGGAAAGGCCCUGCUUUUGUGGGGUGCUCGAGUGGCGAACGGGUGAGUAACACGUGAGUAUCCUGCCCUUGACUUUGGGAUAACUUCAGGAAACUGGGGCUAAUACCGGAUAGGAGCUCCUGCUGCAUGGUGGGGGUUGGAAAGUUUCGGCGGUUGGGGAUGGACUCGCGGCUUAUCAGCUUGUUGGUGGGGUAGUGGCUUACCAAGGCUUUGACGGGUAGCCGGCCUGAGAGGGUGACCGGCCACAUUGGGACUGAGAUACGGCCCAGACUCCUACGGGAGGCAGGAGUGGGGAAUAUAGCACAAUGGGCGGAAGCCUGACGCAGCAACGCCGCGUGCGGGAUGACGGCCUUCGGGUUGUAAACCGCUUUCGCCUGUGACGAAGCGUGAGUGACGGUAAUGGGUAAAGAAGCACCGGCUAACUACGU